rnacentral:rRNA from 1 species
ACGGCCGCGGUAUCUUGACCGUGCUAAGGUAGCGAAAUCACUUGUCUUUUAAAUGGGGACCUGUAUGAAUGGUGGAACGAGGGCUUAACUGUCUCCUUUUUCAAGUCAGUGAAAUUGAUCUGCCCGUGCAGAAGCGGACAUAAAAAUACAAGACGAGAAGACCCUUUGGAGCUUAAGACAUAUGAUCAAUUGUGUUAAAAAUUCUACUCAAAAAAAUUAAACUGAGCAAUACUGACUCUGCGUCUUCGGUUGGGGCGACCACGGGGGAAAACAAAGCCCCCACGAAGAAUGGGACCUCUCCCUAAAACCAAGAGAAACAUCUCUAAGUCACAGAACCUCUGACUAAAAGAUCCGGCAUACGCCGAUUAACGAAUCAAGUUACCCUAGGGAUAACAGCGCAAUCCCCUCCAAGAGCCCAUAUCAACGAGGGGGUUUACGACCUCGAUGUUGGAUCAGGACAU